rnacentral:rRNA from 7 species
GAGUGAUCGAAAGAUGAAAAGCACUUUGAAAAGAGAGUUAAAAAGCACGUGAAAUUGUUGAAAGGGAAGCGCUUGCGACCAGACUCGCUCGCGGGGUUCAGCCGGCAUUCGUGCCGGUGUAUUUCCCCGCGGGCGGGCCAGCGUCGGUUUGGGCGGUCGGUCAAAGGCCCUCGGAAGGUAACGCCCCUAGGGGCGUCUUAUAGCCGAGGGUGCAAUGCGACCUGCCUAGACCGAGGAACGCGCUUCGGCUCGGACGCUGGCAUAAUGGUCGUAAGCGACCC